CAGUCGCCGCGGGAAUACGAAGGGUGCAAGCGUUACUCGGAAUUACUGGGCGUAAAGCGUGCGUAGGUGGUGGUUUAAGUCCGUUGUGAAAGCCCUGGGCUCAACCUGGGAAUUGCAGUGGAUACUGGGUCACUAGAGUGUGGUAGAGGAUAGUGGAAUUUCCGGUGUAGCAGUGAAAUGCGUAGAGAUCGGAAGGAACAUCUGUGGCGAAGGCGACUAUCUGGGCCAACACUGACACUGAGGCACGAAAGCGUGAGGAGCAAACAGGAUUAGAUACCCCAGUAGUCCCUGUCUCUUAUAA
rnacentral:rRNA from 1 species